rnacentral:rRNA from 1 species
GACGAACGCUGGCGGCGUGCCUAAUACAUGCAAUUCGAACGCAGUGGGGACGGGUGAGUAAAACGUUGGUAACCUCCCAUCAGAGGGGAUAACACUUGGAAACAGGUGCUAAACCGAUACUGAUGGAUGGACCCGCGGUGCAUUAGGUAGUUGGUGAGGUAACGGCCCACCAAGGCCACGAUGCAUAGCCGAGCGGAGAGGGGGAGCGGCCAAAAUGGGACUGAGACACGGCCCAGACUCCUACGGGAGGCAGCAGUAGGGAAUCUUCGGCAAUGGACGAAAGGCUGACCGAGCAACGCCGCGUGAGUGAAGAAGGUUUUCGGAUCGGAAAGCUCUGUUGUUAAGGAAGCGGUACUUAACCAGAAAGGGACGGCUAACUACGUGCCAGCAGCCGCGGUAAUAC